rnacentral:rRNA from 1 species
UACAGAGGUCCCAAGCGUUGUUCGGAUUCACUGGGCGUAAAGGGCGCGUAGGCGGCUUGAUAAGGUUGCGGUGAAAGCCCGGGCUCAACCCCGGGUCGGCCGUGGCAACUGUCGAGCUGGAGCACUGUAGAGGCAGGUGGAAUUCCGGGUGUAGCGGUGGAAUGCGUAGAUAUCAGGAGGAACACCGAUGGCGAAGGCAGGUCUCUGGGCCACUACUGACGCUGAGAAGCGAAAGCAUGGGGAGCGAACAGG